rnacentral:rRNA from 1 species
AGUGAACGCUGGCGGUAGGCCUAACACAUGCAAGUCGAACGGCAGCACAGUAAGAGCUUGCUCUUACGGGUGGCGAGUGGCGGACGGGUGAGGAGUACAUCGGAAUCUACUUUUUCGUGGGGGAUAACGUAGGGAAACUUACGCUAAUACCGCAUACGACCUACGGGUGAAAGCAGGGGAUCUUCGGACCUUGCGCGAUUGAAUGAGCCGAUGUCGGAUUAGCUAGUUGGCGGGGUAAAGGCCCACCAAGGCGACGAUCCGUAGCUGGUCUGAGAGGAUGGUCAGCCACACUGGAACUGAGACACGGUCCAGACUCCUACGGGAGGCAGCAGUGGGGAAUAUUGGACAAUGGGCGCAAGCCUGAUCCAGCCAUACCGCGUGGGUGAAGAAGGCCUUCGGGUUGUAAAGCCCUUUUGUUGGGAAAGAAAAGCAGCAGGUUAAUACCCCGCUGUUCUGACGGUACCCAAAGAAUAAGCACCGGCUAACUUCGUG